UUUUUAAUUGAGAUCUUGUAUGAAUGAUUGGACAAAAGGAAAACUGUCUUUAUAUUAAAAUUUGAAUUUAACUUUUAAGUGAAAAGGCUUAAAUUUUCUAAAGGGACGAUAAGACCCUAUAAAACUUUACAUUAAAAUUAAUAUUUUAUUGAAUUUUUAUUAUAAUAAUUUAAUUUAAUUUUUUUGUUAUGUUGGGGAGACAAAAGCUAAAAUUUAUAUUAACUGCUUGGGAGAAAAACAAUAAUAAAUGAGUUACAGUUUAUAGAUCCUUUAUAAAGAUUAAGAGAUUAAGUUACUUUAGGGAUAACAGCGUUAUUUUUUUUUAGAGUUCAUAUCAAAAAAAAAGAUUGCGACCUCGAUGUUGAAUUAAAAUAUCUUUAUAAUGCAGGUGUUAUAAAAGAAAGUCUGUUCGACUUUUAAUUUUUUA
rnacentral:rRNA from 1 species